rnacentral:lncRNA from 1 species
UUGGCUCAGAAGAGGAUUAAGGUGGAGCAAGCUGAUGCUGAACAGAGAACCAAGAAGAAACAUGAGGAAGUUGCAAACAAGGCUGCUGAGGAAUCUUCCAAAGAGCCUAUUGUUGUUGAGGUAGACAGUUCAUCUGAAGAAUCUGAGUCUGAAGAUGAAACUGAAUCAGAUGAAGAGACUAUUGCUGCCAAACUUCGUAGAAGACAAGUUCCUGUUUCUAAAGGUA